AGCUCCAAUAGCGUAUAUUAAAGUUGUUGCGGUUAAAAAGCUCGUAGUUGGAUCUCGGCAGGUAGGGGGCGGUUCGUUUCUGACGGCACUGCCCCAUUUACCUGUGUUUUGGACGGAGGUCUCAAGGUGGCUUUAAACGGCUGUCUUGGUACGCCGUCCGGUUUACUUUGAAAAAAUUAGAGUGCUCAAAGCAGGCUACAAAGCUUGAAUAUUUGUGCAUGGAAUAAUGGAAUAGGAAGUCGUUUCUAUUUUUUUUGGUUUUCGGAAAUUGACUUAAUGAUUAAUAGGGACAGCCGGGGGCAUUAGUACUCAGACGACAGAGGUGAAAUUCUUGGACCGUUUGAGGACUAACUACUGCGAAAGCAUUUGCCAAGAGUGUUUUCA
rnacentral:rRNA from 1 species